GUCCCUGUAGGGCAAUGAAUAGCGCGUUGGACUCCUAAUCCGAAGGUCGUAGGUUCGAAUUCUUCCUGGGAUG